GCAAGUCGAGGGGGAACAUAUGAAGAGAUUGCUCAGAUUGCUGACGACCGGCGCACGGGUGAGUAACACGUAUGCAACCUACCUUUUACAGAGGGAUAGCCCAGAGAAAUUUGGAUUAAUACCUCAUAAUAUUUUUAACUCGCAUGAGUUUUAGAUUAAAACUUCGGUGGUAAAAGAUGGGCAUGCGUUCUAUUAGUUUGUUGGUGAGGUAACGGCUUACCAAGACUACGAUAGAUAGGGGUCCUGAGAGGAUAGUC
rnacentral:rRNA from 1 species